CAGCAGCCGCGGUAAUACGAAGGGUGCAAGCGUUAAUCGGAACUACUGGGCGUAAAGCGUGCGUAGGCGGUGAGUUAAGUCUGCUGUGAAAUCCCCGGGCUCAACCUGGGAAUGGCAGUGGAUACUGGCUCGCUAGAGUGUGUCAGAGGAUGGUGGAAUUCCCGGUGUAGCGGUGAAAUGCGUAGAGAUCGGGAGGAACAUCAGUGGCGAAGGCGGCCAUCUGGGACAACACUGACGCUGAGGCACGAAAGCGUGGGGAGCAAACAGGAUUAGAUACCCCGGUAGUCCCUGUCUCUUAUAC
rnacentral:rRNA from 1 species